UUCUGGGCUCGCAUGAGGGAUAGUAGUGGAAAUCCUUUUUGUUUUUUCUUUAAAAACAAAAAGAUUGAAACAAAUAGCCCGACCCGGA
rfam:Flavobacterium hercynium strain DSM 18292 43415_contig_2, whole genome shotgun sequence.